UAAGAAGCCGAAAGGCUGCUUAAAACCAUUGCGAACCUAUCCAUCAGCGUUACUUCGGCGGGAGGAGGCCGCGGGGCCAGCGUCUACCGGGCCCGGGGCCGGGACCCAACACCCUCCCGGGGGUGCGGGGCCCGCCCGCCGGAGGUACGAAACUCUUCUGCAUCUAUAGUAUGAUCUCUGAGUAAGCAAGCAAAUAAGUUA
rnacentral:misc_RNA from 1 species